rnacentral:rRNA from 1 species
AUACGAGGGGUGCAAACGUUGUCCGGAAUUACUGGGCGUAAAGAGUGCGUAGGUGGUUUGGUUAGUCGUUUGUUAAAGACCAGGGCUUAACUCUGGGAAUGUGAACGAAACUACCAAACUAGAGUAUGGCAGGGGCUAGUAGAACACUUGGUGGAGGGGUGACAUCCGUAGAUAUCAAGUGGAAUACCAAAGGCGAAGGCAGCUAGCUAGGCCAUUACUGACACUGAGGCACGAAAGCGUGGGGAGCGAUCGGGAUUAGAUACCCCGGUAGUCCACGCCGUAAACGAUGCAUACUAGACAUUGGAGAGUAUCGACCCUCUUUUGUGUCGAAGCUAACGCGUUAAGUAUGCCGCCUGGGGAGUACGAACGCAAGUUUAAA